CAUUAUCACUUAUUCCGUUAUUAAUUGAUCAGUUUGCUUCUGUGUCUCCAAAUUGAUCAUGUGCAUCCCUGCUUUUACUGGAUAAUGUUUUUACAUCACCACAUGCCCCUGUGAUCAUGGAAAAGUUGAGAUCGGUGUCCUGUUGUGUAGGGUAAACAUCAGAGUUGAUAAGGCUAUUGGAGAACAAACGUGUUUGAUGUUCUCGAAAUUCAUUCAUUCCAGAUGAAUGAGCAAACAACAACAAGAAGUCAAGAACAUGCCAGUAUAAUCCCACAGAUGGAUCAGAAAAUAAAUCAAAAUUCCUCCAGAUACUGCUGCACUGAUCCUCUCUCUAUUUCUCUCUAUUCUCUAUCUAUCUUUUUCUAAUGCACUAGAGUACAACUUUCAUGGAGGCUGGAGCACAUCUCUAUGAACAUAUAGGGUUUCUUAUGCAUGAUUUAUCAGCUAACAAUUACACUUUCUUUGGUAGCAGAUUCCACAUGAAGAAAA